CACAGUCCUUAAGUAUACAUUACUCUUGCUGUCCUUUGUCUCCAGAGUGACAAUAACAGCACUGUGUUAAACAAUCUAGUAAGUGGAAUCGAAGUGGUCAAUGUCACCAUUGAAAACCUCACCGACCCAGUGACCAUUGUCUUCCAGAACACAACCUUGCCGACUAACUCAAGUGGAAAAUGUGCCUUUUGGGAUUUCAGAAAAGGGAGCACAAGUCAUGGCAUCUGGAGUGAAUCUGGCUGUACGACAGAAAGUCAGCUUCACUAC